UACCAGCACCCCGAGUGGUCGGGACGUUUUAUUGGGCCUAAAGCAUCCGUAGCCGGUUCUACAAGUCUUCCGUUAAAUCCAACUGCUUAACAGGUGGGCUGCGGAAGAUACUAUAGAGCUAGGAGGCGGGAGAGGCAAGCGGUACUCGAUGGGUAGGGGUAAAAAUCCGUUGAUCCAUUGAAGACCACCAGUGGCGAAGGCGGCUUGCCAGAACGCGCUCGACGGUGAGGGAUGAAAGCUGGGGGGAGCAAACCGG
rnacentral:rRNA from 1 species